AUUCCGUGAUGAGGGCACUUUUGUAAUAAUUCUUUAUACCUUUUCGAUGCCUCAUACAAUGACUCAUCAUCCAUUUGUUGGAAAUUAGUCAUCUCGUUCCUCAACUU
rfam:Gossypium hirsutum cultivar TM-1 chromosome 17, whole genome shotgun sequence